AUUGAACGCUGGCGGCAUGCCUUACACAUGCAAGUCGAACGGCAGCACGGGAGCAAUCCUGGUGGCGAGUGGCGAACGGGUGAGUAAUAUAUCGGAACGUGCCCAGUCGUGGGGAUAACGUAGCGAAAGCUACGCUAAUACCGCAUACGAUCUAUGGAUGAAAGCGGGGGAUCGCAAGACCUCGCGCGAUUGGAGCGGCCGAUAUCAGAUUAGGUAGUUGGUGAGGUAAAGGCUCACCAAGCCGACGAUCUGUAGCUGGUCUGAGAGGACGACCAGCCACACUGGGACUGAGACACGGCCCAGACUCCUACGGGAGGCAGCAGUGGGGAAUAUUGGACAAAUGGGCGAAAGCCUGAUCCAGCCAUGCCGCGUGUGUGAAGAAGGUCUUCGGAUUGUAAAGCACUUUAAGUUGGGAGGAAGGGUAGUAACCUAAUACGUUGCUACUUUGACGUUACGACAGAAUAAGCACCGGCUAACUACGUG
rnacentral:rRNA from 1 species